UUGACGUUCGAAGCCCAUUGGGCCUUAAGGUCCAAAACUAUCCCGAGGUCUUUAACGAACUUAUUUGUUUGAUUAAUUAACAUAUUAAUUAAUCCUUGCCAUAAAUAAUUAAACCAUUUAAUUAUUCUUACUCAUCUUCGUUGUUUCUUCAAUCUCUACCCUACACGGUGUACGAUCCAUUAGGUUCCUUUUAGCGAGGCAGUGGGCGAUUAAAACUCUUUCAAAUCAAUUGUGAAUUGAAACUUACUUUCAAUUCUCCCUUUAGUGUUUAUACACGUUUAGGGCUUCCACAAACCAAGAGUGACACCUAGCAGCAUAUCAUGGUUACCCAAGCUAAUCAGAAGAGGUGGAGAACCUAUUCAGUUUAGGAUUACAAAUGCAAUACGGUCUUUCUCUAAUAUAAUACUUUUGACCACAUUGUUUGGUUUGAUAGUUUAUUCAUGUCUACUAUCCAAUGUGAUUUGGAACGACUUCCUAAAUCUCAUUCAUACUCUGGCCAGAGAUUCUUAAUCAUAUCAUAGAGUAUUCUCCCUCAAACAGUUUGAAGGUUAGAGAUCCCUUGUUGCGCAUUCACUUGCCUCCAUGGCUUAGUGGCUUAACCCCAACUAUGCCGUGGACACCCUCCUUUUGGAGUGACUUUUGACAUAAUCAAAGAUCAAGGACUUAACCACAAGACAACUAUGAUGCCUCAAGUCAAAGGACUACUUUGCAUUAUCCCAACCAUGAGUUCUCAUGUGACAUGAAUAUGAGAACUCUUCGUUGAUCGUGUUCAGUUAACUCAUUCUCUAUUGAGCACAUACGUACUUGUCUUGAUGUCACACACACCAAUGACUCGAGACUAGUCACUCUCCCUGAGAGAAGACACAACACGUACUGAUCUUAACGGACUGUCAAUGCCCAAUUGGCAAUCCUAUGAUCAGGAACGUUUAGGAUAUGUAUACGAAAGAAUGGUCUCAUGAAUCUAACUUCUCUAGAUUGCAUUCUCCCAAUCACAUAUUCCUUGGACUUAUCGUUUAAGCAUAUAACAUUUAUAUGAGACGGCUUAACAAUAAUCUUUGCCCUUUAUAUUUAAAUUAAAUUAGUUUAACAUGUGAAAUGUCCGUAAAGUAUCAUCAUAUGAUUGGUUUUAGGGCAUAUUUCCAACAAUCUCCCACUUGCACUAGAGCCAAUCAGCUUGGUCAUCAGUGAUGAUACCUCUUCUGUAGU
rnacentral:lncRNA from 1 species